UCGAGAAUCUUCGGCAAUGGGCGCAAGCCUGACCGAGCGACGCCGCGUGUGGGUAGAAGGCCUUCGGGUUGUAAACCACUGUCAGAGAGGCGGAAAUACAGGGGGGUUCUCCCUUCUGUUUGACCUAUUCUCAGAGGAAGUGCGGGCUAAGUCCGUGCCAGCAGCCGCGGUAACACGGACCGCACGAACGUUAUUCGGUAUCACUGGGCUUAAAGGGUGCGUAGGCGGCCUGCCAAGUUGGGUGUGAAAGCCCUCGGCUCAACCGAGGAAUUGCGCUCAAUACUGGUGGGCUUGAGAGAGACAGAGGUAAGCGGAACUAAUGGUGGAGCGGUGAAAUGCGUUGAUAUCAUUAGGAACACCGGUGGCGAAGGCGGCUUACUGGGUCUUUUCUGACGCUGAGGCACGAAAGCCAGGGGAGCGAACGGGAUUAGAUACCCCGGUAGUCC
rnacentral:rRNA from 1 species